rnacentral:rRNA from 2 species
GGCGAGUGAAGCGGCAACAGCUCAAAUUUGAAAUCUGGCCCUCGGGUCCGAAUUGUAAUUUGUAGAGGAUGCUUUUGGUGCGGUGCCUUCUGAGUUCCUUGGAACAGGACGCCUUAGAGGGUGAGAGCCCCGUACAGUUGGACACCAAGCCUUUGUAAAGCUCCUUCGACGAGUCGAGUAGUUUGGGAAUGCUGCUCUAAAUGGGAGGUAAAUUUCUUCUAAAGCUAAAUAUUGGCCAGAGACCGAUAGCGCACAAGUAGAGUGAUCGAAAGAUGAAAAGUACUUUGAAAAGAGGGUUAAAUAGCACGUGAAAUUGUUGAAAGGGAAGCGUUUAUGACCAGACCUUCGUCGGGCGGAUCAUCCGGUGUUCUUCACCGGUGCACUUCGCCCGGCUUAGGCCAGCAUCGGUUUUCGUAGGGGGAUAAAGGCCUAGGGAAUGUGGCUCCCUCCGGGGAGUGUUAUAGCCCUGGGCGUAAUACCUUUAUGGGGACCGAGGUUCGCGCUCCGGCAAGGAUGCUGGCGUAAUGGUCAUCAACG